GACGAACGCUGGCGGCGUGCUUAACACAUGCAAGUCGAACGGAAAGGCCCCUUUGGGGGUACUCGAGUGGCGAACGGGUGAGUAACACGUGAGUAACCUGCCCUUGACUUCGGGAUAACUUCAGGAAACUGGGGCUAAUACCGGAUAGGAAUCCUUGCUGCAUGGUGGGGGUUGGAAAGCUUCGGCGGUUUUGGAUGGACUCGCGGCUUAUCAGCUUGUUGGUGGGGUAGUGGCUUACCAAGGCUUUGACGGGUAGCCGGCCUGAGAGGGCGACCGGCCACAUUGGGACUGAGAUACGGCCCAGACUCCUACGGGAGGCAGCAGUGGGGAAGAUUGCACAAGGGGCGGAAGCCUGAUGCAGCAACGCCGCGUGCGGGAGGACGGCCUUCGGGUUGAAAACCGCUUUCAGCAGGGGCGAAGCUUGUGGUGACGGUACCUGCAGAAGAAGCACCGGCUAACUACGUG
rnacentral:rRNA from 1 species